UAAGGAAUAUUGCGCAAUGGGCGACAGCCUGACGCAGCGACGCCGCGUGGGGGAUGAAGGUCUUCGGAUUGUAAACCCCUUUCGGCAGGGAAGAUGGAACGGGUAACCGUUCGGACGGUACCUGCAGAAGCAGCCACGGCUAACUUCGUGCCAGCAGCCGCGGUAAUACGAAGGUGGCAAGCGUUGUUCGGAUUUACUGGGCGUACAGGGAGCGUAGGCGGUUGGGUAAGCCCUCCGUGAAAUCUCCGGGCCUAACCCGGAAAGUGCGGAGGGGACUGCUCGGCUAGAGGAUGGGAGAGGAGCGCGGAAUUCCCGGUGUAGCGGUGAAAUGCGUAGAGAUCGGGAGGAAGGCCGGUGGCGAAGGCGGCGCUCUGGAACAUUUCUGACGCUGAGGCUCGAAAGCGUGGGGAGCAAACAGGAUUAGAUACCCUAGUAGUCCCUGAGCGGGCUGGCAAGGCG
rnacentral:rRNA from 1 species